CGGAGUCGGAUGGAGAUUUGAGGUACCACAAGUAGGUGCAGAGCCUAAGUUUGGAAACGGCCGCCGCCCAAGUGGGCUGUGUGCCAUGUAUUGACAUCCA